rnacentral:rRNA from 1 species
GAUGAACGCUGGCGGCGUGCCUAAUACAUGCAAGUCGAGCGAACGGACGAGAAGCUUGCUUCUCUGAUGUUAGCGGCGGACGGGUGAGUAACACGUGGAUAACCUACCUAUAAGACUGGGAUAACUUCGGGAAACCGGAGCUAAUACCGGAUGAUAUUUUGAACCGCAUGGUUCAAAAGUGAAAGACGGUCUUGCUGUCACUUAUAGAUGGAUCCGCGCUGCAUUAGCUAGUUGGUAAGGUAACGGCUUACCAAGGCAACGAUGCAUAGCCGACCUGAGAGGUUGAUCGGCCACACUGGAACUGAGACACGGUCCAGACUCCUACGGGAGGCGGCAGUAGGGAAUCUUCCGCAAUGGGCGAAAGCCUGACGGAGCAACGCCGCGUGAGUGAUGAAGGUCUUCGGAUCGUAAAACUCUGUUAUUAGGGAAGAACAUAUGUGUAAGUAACUGUGCACAUCUUGACGGUACCUAAUCAGAAAGCCACGGCUAACUACGUG